UCUAAGUAUAAGCAAUUAUACCGCGAAACUGCGAAUGGCUCAUUAAAUCAGUUAUCGUUUAUUUGAUAGUACCUUACUACUUGGAUAACCGUGGUAAUUCUAGAGCUAAUACAUGCUAAAAACCCCAACUCACGAAGGGGUGUAUUUAUUAGAUUAAAAACCAAUGCCCUUCGGGGCUCUUUGGUGAUUCAUAAUAACUUCUCGAAUCGCAUGGCCUUGUGCCGGCGAUGGUUCAUUCAAAUUUCUGCCCUAUCAACUUUCGAUGGCAGGGUCUUGGCCUGCCAUGGUUACAACGGGUAACGGAGGGUUAGGGCUCGACCCCGGAGAAGGAGCCUGAGAAACGGCUACUACAUCCAAGGAAGGCAGCAGGCGCGCAAAUUACCCAAUCCCGAUUCGGGGAGGUAGUGACAAUAAAUACUGAUACAGGGCUCUUUUGGGUCUUGUAAUUGGAAUGAGUACAAUUUAAAUCCCUUAACGAGGAACAAUUGGAGGGCAAGUCUGGUGCCAGCAGCCGCGGUAAUUCCAGCUCCAAUAGCGUAUAUUAAAGUUGUUGCAGUUAAAAAGCUCGUAGUUGAACCUUGGGCCUGGCUGGCCGGUCCGCCUCACCGCGUGCACUGGUUCGGCCGGGCCUUUCCCUCUGGGGAUCCCCAUGCCCUUUACUGGGUGUGGUGGGGAACCAGGACUUUUACUGUGAAAAAAUUAGAGUGUUCAAAGCAGGCCUAUGCUCGAAUACAUUAGCAUGGAAUAAUAGAAUAGGACGUGUGGUUCUAUUUUGUUGGUUUCUAGGACCGCCGUAAUGAUUAAUAGGGACAGUCGGGGGCAUCAGUAUUCAAUUGUCAGAGGUGAAAUUCUUGGAUUUAUUGAAGACUAACUACUGCGAAAGCAUUUGCCAAGGAUGUUUUCAUUAAUCAGGAACGAAAGUUAGGGGAUCGAAGA
rnacentral:rRNA from 1 species